rnacentral:lncRNA from 1 species
GGUACCUCUCUGUCUUUGCUUUUUGUAGGAGUGGGUAAUCAUUCACAGGUUGCAACUGGAAGGUUAAAAACUUGAACUGUCUUGGGCUUGAAUCUGCAGAUUGUAUGUGUGGCACAUUUAUUUGUAUGCAACCAUGAAGUCAAAUGUUUGCUCUAGAUUAUCAUUAAAAGACGAAUAUAGAACUUAAUUGUUCAUACCUUCCAAACUGGCUUACCAACUAUGGGGAUCUGCUCUUCUCCUACUUUUCCUUCUGCAAAAUUUUCUUUCAACUAAUCAACACAGUAUGCGCCAUAUCAUUACAUGUGGAAUUCUCAGGUAUACUGGUGGAUGGUGGUACACAUGGUUGGGUUCAAGUCCCAUAGAAGCCAAUAACACGGUAUCUGUGUUCCAUAACUGCUUAUUGAUCCCAAAACAAAGCUCUAGAAAAGAAAAGGUCUGUUUGGAUGUAGUACUACUUGCUAUUGUUAGGAUUUUGCUCCCCACUCAAUUGAUGACUUAUAUGUAGGAAGAUCUCUAAUAUAGGAAGUUGGAUUGGGACCAAAAUAUUUGGAUCCCUGAUUAAAUGCGCACAUCAUUAACUCAGAUGAACCAUAUGAUUUUGAUAGAAGAGCACUCUAGACGAAUCAAUAAUGUACAGCCCUCGAAAUACUUGCUUUUGUCUUCUGAUAUAAGUAGAGCAACUCCCACCUUUUAGACUAAUCCUCAAAAAGUAGAGGUGGCAUAGGUUCUAUCAUUUAUACUCACAUUAAUGACAUUAUUAAAGAGAGUUUAACAUAACUAUGCUUCGACUUGAAUUCUCUCUUGAAGGUUUGAGUGUUAAGUUCUUUAUCUUGAUACCCAGGAGCAACUCUUAACUUCUUAUGAAAAUAAAGUUUAAAAACUUUACUUAUACAAACUUGGCAUAUUGGGUUCUCCUAGUUAAGGUACAACUGUAAAAGCAGCUCUUUCAACUGCUAAAUUUGUUGAAAUACUUCUUUCAUUACCUCGUGGUUUCGAUUCACUUAACCCAAUUAAAAAGGUUAAAAUUUAAGGAAUAUAUAUAUAUAGAGCUUCCUGCUCAGUUUAGCUCACUUUUAAGUAACCUAACUUGUUACCAUUGCUUGUAAAAAAAUAAUCAGGAGCAAGUUAGUAACCCAGAAUCAAGCCCCCCAUCCCAAGCUGAAGUAAAUGAUAAUUAUUACCUGAAUGUGCAAUGCUAAUGAAUUGUUAUUUGCAUGAAUCACCAGACUGAAGAUACAAGUUUGAAGUCGACGCCAGUUGCCUCUAAAGAAGCAACUGCUGAUGCAAAUGAAAAGCUAGAAAAAAAGAAAGGACUUAAAGUUGAUCUUCACAAGAUUGGCACUUCAAACUCAUCUUUGAAGAAAGAAAAGAACAGAAUAGUACCUUUUGUGACAACAGCGGAACUUGAGUUUAGCCAUGCUGAUACUGAUCACACUGCGGCACCAUCAGAUUUGCUUUUAGAGUUGCUGAAGCAAGGGAAAGGACACAAGUCAGAACCAAAGAAAAAGCGAACACCACGACAAAAGGCUGAAGUAGCAGUUAUGGACAAUAAUUCCAGUCCUGAUUUGUCUGUGAAGCUGAGUCAGUUGAAGAGGAAGCAUCAAUGUAACAUGGAGAGCUUCCGAGAAAAAUGUCACACUGAUGAGCUUGGUUUGAAUAAAUUUUCAAAAGCAAAAUACAAGAGGAGGUGGAAAUCUAAAAUGGGUGGCGAAAAUGUCAGACUGAGUCCGUCUGCAAAUGAGAAGAAGAAAGCUCGUGAAGAAUAUGUUACCACAGAUGUUGAUAUGAAAUUAGUUUCCGUAAUGCAUAAGAGGAAAGUACGAUUGAGUUCACCUGUCCUUGAGGGGACAAAAGAAUUGAAAUGUGGCGAGAUCAAUCCCACGAAACUAUCUGAUGGUGCAAGGAAAGUACACUCCAUUUCUCCUGUCUUUGAGGGAAUUAAAGAGUUGAGAAGUCUCGAAAUCAAUUUAGUGAAAAUGCAUGGGGAUUCAAUGGACAGUACUACUA